CCUACGGGUGGCUGCAGUGGGGACUAUUGGGCAAUGGGCGCAAGCCUGACCCAGCAACGCCGCGUGAAGGAAGAAGGCCUUCGGGUUGUAAACUUCUUUUGUCAGUGACGAAGAAAGUGACGGUACCUGACGAAUAAGCCACGGCUAACUACGUGCCAGCAGCCGCGGUAAUACGUAGGUGGCAAGCGUUAUCCGGAUUUCAUGGGUGUAAAGGGCGUGUAGGCGGGAGAGCAAGUCAGACGUGAAAUUCCAGGGCUCAACCCUGGAACUGCGUUUGAAACUGUUCUUCUUGAGUGAUGGGGAGGCAGGCGGAAUUCCGGGUGUAGCGGUGAAAUGCGUAGAUAUACGGAGGAACACCAGUGGCGAAGGCGGCCUGCUGGACAUUAACUGACGCUGAGGCGCGAAAGCGUGGGGAGCAAACAGGAUUAGAUACCCCAGUAGUC
rnacentral:rRNA from 1 species